rnacentral:rRNA from 1 species
UACGAAGGGGGCUAGCGUUGUUCGGAAUCACUGGGCGUAAAGCGCACGUAGGCGGAUCUUUAAGUCAGGUGUGAAACCUCCAGGCUCAACCUGGAGACGCCACUUGAUACUGCUGUGACUGGAGUCCGGUAGGGGAGCGUGGAAUUCCUGGUGUAGCGGUGAAAUGCGCAGAUAUCAGGAGGAACACCAGCGGCGAAGGCGGCGCUCUGGGCCGGUACUGACACUGAGGGAGCGAAAGCGUGGGUAGCAAACAGG